rnacentral:lncRNA from 1 species
GGAUUUGUUUUGGACGAAAAUUGAAAACAAAACAGAAACUUAAAACUAAACAGAUUGUAAAACGUUUUUUGGAUGAAAAGGAUGGAUAAAAGGCUAGUUAGGAGGUUCUUCUCCACACAUGUCACACUUGCAAACGAAACGAUUUUCAGUUGUUCUUCCAAUAAAUUAUAAAUACUCAACGCCUCAAAUUAACCGUGAAUUGCACUAAUUAACCCUCAGUUUUUCCACAAGUUAUUAGGUUGGAUGAUUGCAUACGACAACCCAAAACAUUCCCUACACGUUCCCUACAUGAAUUGCAUAAUAGAGAUACAAGCAAGAAUCAUUACGUUCUAUGAAAAACAUAGCAUUGACGAAGCAUUUGUUACUAUGAAUUGCAUGAAACUUAUGCUAAGAAUUCAUUCAACGCGAUCGUUUUCAAGCGACCUUCACUACUUGCGAUUAUAAGAUUGUAACUAUUAGGUGAAACUCCCUCAUAAUCUAGCAUCAUAUUCAUGCAUGAAAACUAAGCGUG